AUUGAACGCUGGCGGCAGGCUUAACACAUGCAAGUCGAGCGGAGACUUCGGUCUUAGCGGCGCACGGGGGAGGAAUGCCAGGGAAUCUGCCUAUUAGUGGGGGAUAACGUUCCGAAAGGAACGCUAAGACCGCAUACGUCCUACGGGAGCAAGCAGGGGACCGUCGGGCGGUGCGAUAGGUGAUGAGCCCAGGGCGGAUUUGCUAGUUGGUGGGGUAAAGGCUAAUCAAGGCGACGAUCCGUAGCUGGUCUGAGAGGAUGAUCAGCCACACUGGAACUGAGACACGGUCCAGACUCCUACGGGAGGCAGCAGUGGGGAAUAUUGGACAAUGGGCGAAAGCCUGAUCCAGCCAUGCCGCGUGUGUGAAGAAGGCCUUCGGGUUGUAAAGCACUUUCAGCGGGGAGGAAGUACUUGGGGCUAAUAUCCCUGAGUGUUGACGUUACCCGCAGAAUAAGCACCGGCUAACUCUGUGCCAGCCGCCGCUGUAACAC
rnacentral:rRNA from 1 species